UACGGAGGGGGCUAGCGUUGUUCGGAAUUACUGGGCGUAAAGCGCGCGUAGGCGGCUUUGUAAGUUAGAGGUGAAAGCCUGGAGCUCAACUCCAGAACUGCCAUUGAAACUGCAAGACUUGAGUACGAGAGAGGUGAGUGGAAUUCCCAGUGUAGAGGUGAAAUUCGUAGAUAUUGGGAAGAACACCGGUGGCGAAGGCGGCUCACUGGCUCGUAACUGACGCUCAGGCGCGACAGCGUGGGGAUCAAACAGG
rnacentral:rRNA from 1 species